ensembl:rRNA 5S_rRNA 5S ribosomal RNA
UCUACGGCCAUACCACCCUGAACACGCCCGAUCUCGUCUGAUCUCGGAAGCUAAGCAGGGUCGGGCCUGGUUAGUACUUGGAUGGGAGAAUCAAAGAGCUGUGAGAG